rnacentral:rRNA from 3 species
AGAGUUUGAUCAUGGCUCAGAUUGAACGCUGGCGGCAGGCCUAACACAUGCAAGUCGAACGGUAACAGGAAGCAGCUUGCUGCUUUGCUGACGAGUGGCGGACGGGUGAGUAAUGUCUGGGAAACUGCCUGAUGGAGGGGGAUAACUACUGGAAACGGUGGCUAAUACCGCAUAACGUCGCAAGACCAAAGAGGGGGACCUUCGGGCCUCUUGCCAUCAGAUGUGCCCAGAUGGGAUUAGCUAGUUGGUGAGGUAACGGCUCACCAAGGCGACGAUCCCUAGCUGGUCUGAGAGGAUGACCAGCCACACUGGAACUGAGACACGGUCCAGACUCCUACGGGAGGCAGCAGUGGGGAAUAUUGCACAAUGGGCGCAAGCCUGAUGCAGCCAUGCCGCGUGUAUGAAGAAGGCCUUCGGGUUGUAAAGUACUUUCAGCGGGGAGGAAGGUGUUGUGGUUAAUAACCGCAGCAAUUGACGUUACCCGCAGAAGAAGCACCGGCUAACUCCGUGCCAGCAGCCGCGGUAAUACGGAGGGUGCAAGCGUUAAUCGGAAUUACUGGGCGUAAAGCGCACGCAGGCGGUCUGUCAAGUCGGAUGUGAAAUCCCCGGGCUCAACCUGGGAACUGCAUUCGAAACUGGCAGGCUUGAGUCUUGUAGAGGGGGGUAGAAUUCCAGGUGUAGCGGUGAAAUGCGUAGAGAUCUGGAGGAAUACCGGUGGCGAAGGCGGCCCCCUGGACAAAGACUGACGCUCAGGUGCGAAAGCGUGGGGAGCAAACAGGAUUAGAUACCCUGGUAGUCCACGCCGUAAACGAUGUCUACUUGGAGGUUGUGCCCUUGAGGCGUGGCUUCCGGAGCUAACGCGUUAAGUAGACCGCCUGGGGAGUACGGCCGCAAGGUUAAAACUCAAAUGAAUUGACGGGGGCCCGCACAAGCGGUGGAGCAUGUGGUUUAAUUCGAUGCAACGCGAAGAACCUUACCUGGUCUUGACAUCCACGGAAGUUUUCAGAGAUGAGAAUGUGCCUUCGGGAACCGUGAGACAGGUGCUGCAUGGCUGUCGUCAGCUCGUGUUGUGAAAUGUUGGGUUAAGUCCCGCAACGAGCGCAACCCUUAUCCUUUGUUGCCAGCGGUCCGGCCGGGAACUCAAAGGAGACUGCCAGUGAUAAACUGGAGGAAGGUGGGGAUGACGUCAAGUCAUCAUGGCCCUUACGACCAGGGCUACACACGUGCUACAAUGGCGCAUACAAAGAGAAGCGACCUCGCGAGAGCAAGCGGACCUCAUAAAGUGCGUCGUAGUCCGGAUUGGAGUCUGCAACUCGACUCCAUGAAGUCGGAAUCGCUAGUAAUCGUGGAUCAGAAUGCCACGGUGAAUACGUUCCCGGGCCUUGUACACACCGCCCGUCACACCAUGGGAGUGGGUUGCAAAAGAAGUAGGUAGCUUAACCUUCGGGAGGGCGCUUACCACUUUGUGAUUCAUGACUGGGGUGAAGUCGUAACAAGGUAACCGUAGGGGAACCUGCGGUUG